rnacentral:rRNA from 1 species
UACGAAGGGGGCUAGCGUUGCUCGGAAUCACUGGGUGUAAAGCGCACGUAGGCGGAUCGUUAAGUCAGGGGUGAAAUCCUGGAGCUCAACUCCAGAACUGCCUUUGAUACUGGCGAUCUCGAGUUCGGGAGAGGUGAGUGGAACUGCGAGUGUAGAGGUGAAAUUCGUAGAUAUUCGCAAGAACACCAGUGGCGAAGGCGGCUCACUGGCCCGAUACUGACGCUGAGGUGCGAAAGCGUGGGGAGCAAACAGG